GAUGAAAGCUAGCGGCAGGCCUAAUACAUGCAAGUCGGACGGGAUUCGGGUGCUUGCACCUGGUGAGAGUGGCGCACGGGUGCGUAACACGUAUGUAACCUACCUAAGUCAGGGGGAUAGCCUGUCGGAGGAGAGAUUAAGACAGGAUAACAUCAUAUAUUUGCAUCGUGUGAUGUUCAAAUAUUUAUAGGAUAAAGAUGGGCAUGCGCAACAUUAGCUAGUUGGUGUGGUAACGGCAUACCAAGGUUACGACGUUUAGGGGAUCUGAGAGGAUGACCCCCCACGCUGGUACUGAGACACGGACCAGACUCCUACGGGAGGAAGCAGUAAGGAAUAUUGGUCAAUGGACGGAAGUCUGAACCAGCCAUGCCGCGUGCAGGAAGACGGCCCUAUGGGUUGUAAACUGCUUUUGCAGGGGAAUAAACCUCGGUACGUGUACCGAGUUGAAUGUACCUUGAGAAUAAGGAUCGGCUAACUCCGUGCCAGCAGCCGCGGUAACAC
rnacentral:rRNA from 1 species